rnacentral:rRNA from 1 species
CCUACGGGUGGCAGCAGUGAGGAAUAUUGGUCAAUGGGCGGGAGCCUGAACCAGCCAAGUCGCGUGAGGGAAGACGGUCCUAUGGAUUGUAAACCUCUUUAGUCGGGGAGCAAUGCCGGGCACGCGUGCCCGGAGGGAGAGUACCCGCAGAAUAAGCAUCGGCUAACUCCGUGCCAGCAGCCGCGGUAAUACGGAGGAUUCGAGCGUUAUCCGGAGUUAUUGGGUUUAAAGGUUGCGUAGGCGGAUUUUUAAGUCAGCGGUAAAAGGUCCGGGCUGAACCCGGGCCGGCCGUUGAAACUGGGGAUCUUGAGUGGGCGAGAAGUAUGCGGAAUGCGUGGGGUAGCGGUGAAAUGCAUAGAUAUCACGCAGAACUCCGAUUGCGAAGGCAGCAUACCGGCGCCCGACUGACGCUGAGGCACGAAAGCGUGGGGAUCGAACAGGAUUAGAUACCCGGGUAGUC